ACGAAACGGAUAACUCGGAAUGCCGAUGCCCGACUAUAGCGCUGCAACUGUACCGCGACCGCUUAAGCCGUACGGUGUACACUGUUUCGCAUUUUAAACCGGUCGCUGGUCAGCCAUUUAUUUUAUUUGAAGUCUUCACUUCUUCAUCAUCAGUGUUGUUUGCUAAGUUUGCUUGUCGACUGUUUUAUUAAGUUCCUACAGAUUUUGGUUAAACUAGCGAUUAAAGUACAGAGUAAUCAUGAAAAGACCACUACGAACAGUGAUUACGUCCAGAUCUAAGAAUAUGGUUGUUUUACAUGCCAAGUAUCCGAAACGGUUACUUUUCUAUGGAUUGCUGUCUAUUUUAACAUCUACUCAUGUUGUUUGAACCCUUUAAACAAAAACCUGUGCAAAAUCGGUAAUACACAGUUAAUGUUUUCAUAUUGAUAUGUCCUGACUAUUGUUACAGUUAACAAGUAUUUAUUUAUUAAAACGGUAAUCAAAACCAUUUUAUAAGGCCCUUCCAAAAUACUUGAAUUGCAAUCUAAUUCGUUAAUGAAUAGUAUAAUGUACCUGUAAAUAUAU